rnacentral:miRNA from 1 species
AUUGGUGAGGACAUCUCCAAUG